AGUGGAGGAAGACCUGCGGAUGAGACAAGAGAGCAUCCUUGGAGGAUGCUGAUGUCGUGGCUUGUGUUACGUGGGCGAAGGAUGCAGCUCACCACCUUUGUCUCCCGCGAUGACUUCAUUAAGCAACUCUGAAUUAUAAAGCUGAGUCUUUCCUGAAGCUGGCACCAUUUUCGGUAUAGAAACAAAAGAUGAUUUAAUUGGGCUAUUGGAAGCCACAGACCAGGUAUACGCACAAGCCUACACAGCUGUUCAGUGAGAUGGGAAAGAGGAUGGUUUUGGCCAGGCUGCAGAAUUCAUUUUUCUUAUAACUGGAGUCUUGGCAAGGUGUGGUUUAGGCUUCCUGCAUGAAAACCCUCGGCCUGUAGGUCUCAGCUUGCCAUCGUCCUGAGCGUGAGGCCCCGGAGCUGUAAGUGCACACCAAAGGCAGCCCAGGCGUCUCCUUGCUGGGUUUGGAUUCAGGCCUGCCGAUGCCCCCGUUGCUACGUGAUGGUUAUAAAACGAGUCAAACCGUAGCCGGGCUGAAGACAAGAAUGACACGUAUAGGUUAUUCUGAAACGUAACUUAAGGAUCUGGUGAGCUACGAGAGGUCUUUGUGUACUGAAAGAGGC